rnacentral:RNase_P_RNA from 1 species
GUAGUCAAUCGGUCUGUCGCUUUUAUAAAGAGGAAAGUCCGGACAACACAGAGUACCCUGCUAUCUAACGGAUAGCUGUUUGUGAAAGCAGAGGAAAGCAGAAGAAAAUAACCGCCGGAUUUAUUUUGAAAUUGUGCAAGCAAUUGUAAAAAUUAUCAGGUAAGGGUGAGAAGGUAAGGUAAGAGCUUACCAGUUCCCGUGGCGAUGCGGGAAGCUGUGCUUCUCAGGGGUUGCAAGAUCAUGUAUACCGGUAUUUAAGGGUUACUCGCUCGAUGCCGGGGGGUAGAUUGCUAGAGCUUAAUGGUAACAUUAAGCCAAGAUAAAUGACAGAUAUCCGUUUACGGAGAACAGGAUCCGGCUUACAGAUUGGCUACUUAU